GACGAACGCUGGCGGCGUGCCUAAUACAUGCAAGUCGAGCGCAGGAAACUGACGGAACUCUUCGGAGGGAAGGCAGUGGAAUGAGCGGCGGACGGGUGAGUAACACGUAAGGAACCUGCCUCAAGGAUUGGGAUAACUCCGAGAAAUCGGAGCUAAUACCGGAUAGUUCAACGGACCGCAUGGUCCGCUGAUGAAAGGCGCUUCGGCGUCACCUUGAGAUGGCCUUGCGGUGCAUUAGCUAGUUGGUGGGGUAACGGCCCACCAAGGCAACGAUGCAUAGCCGACCUGAGAGGGUGAUCGGCCACACUGGGACUGAGACACGGCCCAGACUCCUACGGGAGGCAGCAGUAGGGAAUCUUCCACAAUGGACGAAAGUCUGAUGGAGCAACGCCGCGUGAGUGAUGAAGGUUUUCGGAUCGUAAAACUCUGUUGUAAGGGAAGAACACGUACGAGAGGGAAUGCUCGUACCUUGACGGUACCUUACGAGAAAGCCACGGCUAACUACGUGCCAGCCGCCGCAGUAACAC
rnacentral:rRNA from 1 species